rnacentral:rRNA from 1 species
UACGUAGGGUCCGAGCGUUGUCCGGAAUUACUGGGCGUAAAGAGCUCGUAGGUGGUUUGUCGCGUUGUUCGUGAAAACUCACAGCUUAACUGUGGGCGUGCGGGCGAUACGGGCAGACUGGAGUACUGCAGGGGAGACUGGAAUUCCUGGUGUAGCGGUGAAAUGCGUAGAUAUCUGGAGGAACACCGGUGGCGAAGGCGGCAUCCUGGACCGGUAUUGACGCUGAGGCGCGAAAGCCAGGGGAGCAAACGGG